rnacentral:tRNA from 2 species
GGCGAGAUAGCUCAGGUGGUUAGAGCGCAGGAUUCAUAACCCUGAGGUGGUGGGUUCAACUCCCACUCUCGCUA